GGCAGCACGGGUACUUGUACCUGGWGGCGAGCGGCGGACGGGUGAGUAAUGCCUAGGAAUCUGCCUGGUAGUGGGGGAUAACGUUCGGAAACGGACGCUAAUACCGCAUACGUCCUACGGGAGAAAGCAGGGGACCUUCGGGCCUUGCGCUAUCAGAUGAGCCUAGGUCGGAUUAGCUAGUUGGUGGGGUAAUGGCUCACCAAGGCGACGAUCCGUAACUGGUCUGAGAGGAUGAUCAGUCACACUGGAACUGAGACACGGUCCAGACUCCUACGGGAGGCAGCAGUGGGGAAUAUUGGACAAUGGGCGAAAGCCUGAUCCAGCCAUGCCGCGUGUGUGAAGAAGGUCUUCGGAUUGUAAAGCACUUUAAGUUGGGAGGAAGGGCAUUUACCUAAUACGUAAGUGUUUUGACGUUACCGACAGAAUAAGCACCG
rnacentral:rRNA from 1 species